rnacentral:lncRNA from 1 species
AUGUCCUGGAUAAGGUUAGCGGACUGCUGCCGGUACGAGAGCUCUUUAUCCGCCUCCACACCACAGCGGCGACUCGGUGUGUUCUCCAGCUGUUCUCGAGUAAAGAACCAGCGAGAAGAAGUUCCACGGCCCGACGCCAUGACACUUCCUCCUCCGCCCGCUCAUUCGCCCAUACCCCCUCCCCUCCUGGCUCCUAGACUCGCCUCCAAGGCCGCUCGAUCACGCCCCACUUCGCUCGCCGUAGGGCACGCUCCGCCCCUUUUUAACUCCCUGACACUGUCAGUGCGCAUGCGUAGGGGCCGAUUUAGCAACUCUCGAGUCUUUUGUGUUCUUUUUCCUGCCCUCCACCUCUCUCUCGCGUACAGGACCACAAUGCCCCGCGCCGCGUGUCAUUGGGAGGCGCCGAAGGUGGGGAUCGCCUGGAAGGAAAAGAGAAAAUGCCACCGUAUUCACACAAGAAUCCAUGUCUGGCUCUCAGCCAAAGCCUAUUGUAUAUGUCGCUAUUAAGUCUCCUAAACUUGCAUAUCAACUCCCAUCCUCAAGAGAUGGAAGGAGCUAGGAAAGAGGAAAGGGGAAGGGAGUAAAAAGAGAAUUAAGAUGUUUUAUGUAUAUGUACCAACUCCCCAGGAGGAAUGUAAUCAUCAUGUACUACAAACAUGUACUAAUAAAAAAUAAAUAAAAACUGAAUAAAACCAAGAACUGAAAUACAGAAUAUAAGAAAUAGGCAUUUAUUUAAUAAAAUAUAUAGAAUGAUAUAAUUUUUGUGGGGUUUUUUUGUUUGUUUUUGAGAUAGGGUAUGUAGACCAGGCUGGAUUUGGAUUCACUAUGUAGCCCAGGUUGGCCUCAAAUUCACAGCAAUCCUCCUGCCUCAGCCUCCUGAGUGCAGGGAUUACAGGCAUGUGCCACCACGCCCUGUGAUCCCGUAAUUUUUGAAUCCAUACUAGAAUUAGGAAAAAUGAAAAAAAAACUAAAGAGAGAUAUUAAGUCAAUGGUAUUGUAUCAAAAUAAGAAAAACACAUGUCAAACUGUAAUUCUUUUUUUUUUCUUUGGUACUGGGAAUCGAACUCGGGUCCUUGCACUUGAGAGGCAGGUGGCAGAACCAUUGAGCUAAAUCCCAGGCCCAAACUAUAAUUCUUAUUUUUAAAACUUUAUUCCACUUAUAGAAGAAAUAAAUACAAGGAAAUUAAAUUAUUUAUAACAGGAUAAAACUAGCCUACUAAAUUAUAGAAUAUCUGAAAAUAAAUAGGAAUAAAGAAUACUUAUAUAUGCUGAAAUUGAAUAAUCCAUAAGUUGUAAAGAAUAACCUUAAAGUAACAAUGUAAAGAGAAAAAAAAUGUAGAACAAUGUGUCUGCUAUCCUCGUAUUUCUGUUUUUAACAAGGAUGUAUAGAUCCACAAAUAUAUGCAGUAUAUUUCAGGAAUGGUACCUGAGAAACAAGUAGCAUUAGUUGCCUUUGUGGAAGAGGUUUGAGGGUGAGGAAAUCUACCAGAAAUCUCUCUUCUCUUCCUGACUCCUUCCCUCCCUUCAAGAUAUAGCUCACAUGCAGUAUAAAUUAAUCCUUUAAAAAUAUACAAUUUAGGGGCUGGGGAUUUACCUCAGUGGUUAAAUAAAGCAAAAUAAGAUACAGGUCUCAUACCUCACACACAAUUCAGUGGGGUUUUAGUAUAUUUAUGAACUUGCAUAGUCAUUUCUGAGGUAGGAUGGAAAAAAGACAGGAGACACGGAAAUAAUUUUAAAAUUGUACUUUUAAUAAAAACUGCAGCUUCAGGACACAAACUGAGUCAAAAAUUCCUAAGGUCCUUAAAACUACAGAAAGCCUGGGCCAUUUCUUUUUACCUGUAAAUGGACCUUGGCCAUUCCCUUUUCCUUAUAAAUGGGCCUUUCACUUAUGGAAGGGCUACAGCUCUGUCAUCUGUGAUGGUUUUCCAUCUAUGAAUCAGCCACUACCCUUUCCCUGUAGAAAGGGCCACUGCCUAUCAUCUGUAAAUUGAAUCCCAUCUUCCCAUAGAGUCACAAGUCUCACAGAUUUCCUCCCCAAAACCCCAUAAAUAUACCCAGCUACAGGGUACAAGGUGCCUCUCUCUGUUGAGAGCCCUCUAUUUCUUUGAAUGUGUACUUUAAAAUUUUUAUCUAAUAAAUCCCUUUAUGUCUCUUAUUUCUGGUUAUGUCUUAUUUUGGGGGAAACACAGUAUCUACAGAAUGUGCAACAUUCUUUUCAACAACUACAGAAUACACAUUCAUCUCAGAAGCAUGUGGAGCUUUUUCCAAAAUAAACCUACUAACCCAUAAAGCAUGCAUAAAUAAAUACAAAAUAUCCAUGAAUAUUAUCACAUGCAUAUUAUUAGAUUAUAGUUUAAUAAAAUGAGAAAUCAAUGACAAACCACAAAAAUA